rnacentral:pre_miRNA from 1 species
CGUCAAUUGCUGUCAGAGCCACACGCUAUGCUCUUCACUUGCGUAGAAGAAUUUGUGCGGCUCUGAUACCAAUUGAUG